UGUCUUUCUUAGUAUGGAAGCCAGCUACUUUUGAAACGACCAGCUCCAUAAUUCCUACUGAUAUUUAUCAGGUCCGUCGAAUUCAAUGCGUUAAUCAUUUUAAUCUGUAAUGUGUAGGAGUCCAUAAACGUUUUAUUUUUUUUACACCGCAGUAUGGCGGUCCUUCCCAUUUAUAUGUCAGCCUGCCUUAGCUGCUGUGCGCGCGCAGCCACCAUUUCUCGAAUGCAAGACAGUGACAGAGACUGUUUAGGUUGUCAUGAUCGCUCAUUGUUGGUCAAGCGAAGUUUACAUUGUGCUUUUGAUCAUUCUCCUGCAGAGAUUAUUUUUUUUAAAUGGAGGUCCGUGAUUCCAGAUACUCGUCACGGAAUGCGCUGCCAAAAAGUUCAACAUCCCAACCUUGGACUUGAAAGUGUUUGAUGACUCAAAGACAGAAGUUGAUGAGCAGGUUUUUGAUCUCCUGUUGAAAAACCCAAACCUUGGUGUGUUGGAGAUUUGUCUGGCCGAAGAUACAAAUCCAGAAGAUCAGCCGAGUUGUCCUGCAAAGAGCUGCAAUACCAGUUCAAGUGGAGAUACUGAAGUGGACUCAGAUGACACAAUAAUAUUACAACACAGUCCUACAACAAGACGAAGAGUUGAAGACACCUCUCUUGCCAAAGUGGUUGCUGUCAUUGGUGAGGAUGCAUCAUCCGUUGAAGGUCAUCUGAAUGUCCUGCAUAUCCAGUACAGCAAGGUGCGAGAGGAUAUACUAAAGAAGUACCCUUUCUUGAAGACAACCUCAGGGUUGUUUGAUGAUGUUGACCGAAUGCAUCCAUCACCUGUCAGUUUAAGCCAGCGCUUCAAGGACAGCGUUUACCAGUAUUGUGCCAAAGGUGCUUGAGCUUGUUCAAAGAAAAGCUCCAUUAGCCAAAGUCUCCAAAGAAGCAAGAGAAGAGAUGCUUGCAGAGGAUCUACUAGGUUGACAUAAAACCUAAUCCUUGGUAAUCUUUAGUGUGUUUUAUAGUUCUUCUUUUUAGAAUUCGUAU